rnacentral:rRNA from 2 species
UCGAACGAUGAUGCUCCAGCUUGCUGGGGUGGAUUAGUGGCGAACGGGUGAGUAACACGUGAGUAACCUGCCCCCUUCUUCGGGAUAAGCUUGGGAAACUGGGUCUAAUACUGGAUAUUCUACAAUUGUCGCAUGGUGGUUGUGGGAAAGAUUUUUGGUGGGGGAUGGGCUCGCGGCCUAUCAGCUUGUUGGUGGGGUGAUGGCCUACCAAGGCGUCGACGGGUAGCCGGCCUGAGAGGGUGACCGGCCACACUGGGACUGAGAUACGGCCCAGACUCC